UGAGAAGGAUGCCGAUUCUAUGUCAUCUA
rnacentral:piRNA from 1 species